AUUGAAUAUAGACGGUUAGAUCAACUGAACAAGUAAAACCUAAACCUAGAAAAAAAAAACCACUCUAUCAGCCAUUCAGCCGUUUUACAUACUCUUCUACUCUCAAUCACAGUUGAAAACAUUUUCCUCCAAAAAUCAAAGGAAAACAUUAUCCUCCAAAAAAACGAUUCUCUCUCCUAGAGCUCAUAUCCUUCCCCGAUUUUUUCUCCCUCCUCCAUUGAAGCAGCUUGUGAGGUCUCAAAUAGGGCUUGGUUUUUGGGUCUUUCGCUUCUCUGAGGUAGCGUACUCCAUUAAAGCGACUUCUGUGCUUCAUCUCCCCCAUUAAAGUGUACUCUGGAUUCUCCAUUGAAGCGGCGCAGCGUGUGAGCAUUAUCUCCUCCAUUGAACUGAUUUCCGUCAAACCUCAAGCCGUCAAACCUCAAGGUAAUUUUUU